GCGGGGUUAUUAGAAGCUUGCUUCUAAAUAACCUAGCGGCGGACGGGUGAGUAACACGUAGGCAACCUGCCCACAAGACAGGGAUAACUACCGGAAACGGUAGCUAAUACCCGAUACAUCCUUUUCCUGCAUGGGAGAAGGAGGAAAGGCGGAGCAAUCUGUCACUUGUGGAUGGGCCUGCGGCGCAUUAGCUAGUUGGUGGGGUAAAGGCCUACCAAGGCGACGAUGCGUAGCCGACCUGAGAGGGUGAUCGGCCACACUGGGACUGAGACACGGCCCAGACUCCUACGGGAGGCAGCAGUAGGGAAUCUUCCGCAAUGGGCGAAAGCCUGACGGACAACGCCGCGUGAGUGAUGAAGGUUUUCGGAUCGUCAAGCUCUGUUGCCAGGGAAGAACGUCUUGUAGAGUAACUGCUACAAGAGUGACGGUACCUGAGAAGAAAGACCCGGCUAACUACGUGCCAGCAGCCGCGGUAAUACGUAGGGUGCAAGCGUUGUCCGGAAUUAUUGGG
rnacentral:rRNA from 1 species